rnacentral:rRNA from 1 species
GAUGAACGCUGGCGGCGUGCCUAACACAUGCAAGUCGAACGAAGCUUGACGGAUGAUUUCUUCGGAAUGAAACCAGAUAUGACUUAGUGGCGGACGGGUGAGUAACACGUAAGCAACCUGCCUUUCAGAGGGGGAUAACGGCUGGAAACGGUCGCUAAUACCGCAUGAUGUGUUCGGAUGGCAUCAUCUGAACAUCAAAGAUUUAUCGCUGAAAGAUGGGCUCGCGUCUGAUUAGAUAGUUGGUGGGGUAACGGCCUACCAAGUCUACGAUCAGUAGCCGGACUGAGAGGUUGAACGGCCACAUUGGGACUGAGAUACGGCCCAGACUCCUACGGGAGGCAGCAGUGGGGAAUAUUGCACAAUGGGGGAAACCCUGAUGCAGCAACGCCGCGUGAAGGAUGACGGUUUUCGGAUUGUAAACUUCUUUUCUUAGUGACGAAGACAGUGACGGUAGCUAAGGAAUAAGCAUCGGCUAACUACGUG